GUGGGGAAUAUUGGACAAUGGGCGAAAGCCUGAUCCAGCCAUGCCGCGUGUGUGAAGAAGGUCUUCGGAUUGUAAAGCACUUUAAGUUGGGAGGAAGGGCAGUAAGUUAAUACCUUGCUGUUUUGACGUUACCGACAGAAUAAGCACCGGCUAACUUCGUGCCAGCAGCCGCGGUAAUACGAAGGGUGCAAGCGUUAAUCGGAAUUACUGGGCGUAAAGCGCGCGUAGGUGGUUUUGUAAGUUGGAGGUGAAAUCCCCGGGCUCAACCUGGGAACUGCCUCCAAAACUGCAUGACUAGAGUACGGUAGAGGGUAGUGGAAUUUCCUGUGUAGCGGUGAAAUGCGUAGAUAUAGGAAGGAACACCAGUGGCGAAGGGGACUACCUGGACUGAUACUGACACUGAGGUGCGAAAGCGUGGGGAGCAAACAGGAUUAGAUACCCCUGUAGUCC
rnacentral:rRNA from 1 species